AAAUACAUAUCAAAUACUAUAA
rnacentral:snRNA from 1 species